CGCCAGACUCCUACGGGAGGCAGCAGUGGGGAAUAUUGCACAAUGGGGGGAACCCUGAUGCAGCGACGCCGCGUGGGUGAAGGAGCACCUCGGUGCGUAAAGCCCUCUCGGCAGGGAAGAAACAGACGGUACCUGACUAAGAAGCCCCGGCUAACUACGUGCCAGCAGCCGCGGUAAUACGUAGGGGGCAAGCGUUAUCCGGAUUCACUGGGUGUAAAGGGAGCGUAGACGGCGACGCAAGUCUGGAGUGAAAGGCCGGGGCCCAACCCCGGGACUGCAUUGGAAACUGCGAGGCUGGAGUGUCGGAGAGGCAGGCGGAAUUCCUAGUGUAGCGGUGAAAUGCGUAGAUAUUAGGAGGAACACCAGUGGCGAAGGCGGCCUGCUGGACGAUGACUGACGCUGAGGCUCGAAAGCGUGGGGAGCAAACAGGAUUAGAUACCCCUGUA
rnacentral:rRNA from 1 species